GAUCUGCAGAUGGAGCAACACUGUCCAUUGGACAGAUUCUAUGGAUGAUGUACUAGUAGAUGCUUUUUACAAUUAACAUUUGUUGGGAUAUUCACCACACAAGCUAUUGAUUAUAUCAUAACAGAACUAAGGAAUGCAUUUUCAAACAGGACCCUUGAUAAAGAGCGAAUCGACAAUUACAUUAAAAAUUUAAAAAGAUAAUUCUCCAAAUAAUAUGAAAUUUUCAAACAUGGAUUAAGUGGUUUUGCUUAAAAUCUGACAACUAAAAGAUUUGCGGAAAAGGAGGUAUGGCAGCAACUAAUAGAGGUUCAACCCGAAGCAGUUGAAUUGAAGAACAAACGUGUACAAAAUUACGAUAAAAUGUUGAAAAUGUAUAGAAGGGAUAGAGUUGAUGGGGCUGGUUGUGAAACAGCACGUACCGAUCAAGGAUAACUGAAGAUGAGUGACAAUGAACAUGAAAUGAGCACUAAGGAGAUUGACCAACAACUUAUCCAAAAUUUAGGUGGCAAUUUCAAUUUUAAGGGUGUGGAUACAAUGAAUGAUGCUUUAACGCCCAAAAUGCCUACUUCACAACCCCAACAUGAAUCACAAAGUUCUUACAGGCAUAAGAAAUCAAAAUGUUUGUCUACUAUCCCA